GCCCUGGUAGCUCAAUUGGUUAGAGCGUCGGACUUUUAUAUGUUUCUACUAUUAACAUGUCUGACAUCCGAAGGCUGCGGGUUCGACCCCCGCCUGGGGCG